AGUGAGGAGACUAGUUAAGACGCUUUUGUAACAGUGGAGGCAGGAAAUGAGAUUGGCUUGGACCAGACUCCACAGCAGCAGAAACUGUGAUCAGAGGUCAGAUCCUGGAUACCUUCUGAAGUAGGCCCGCUGGUAUUUGCUGAUGAUUUGCUUUGGGUGUGUGAGAGCAAAGAGGAGAAGCAAGGAUGCCUCCAAGCUCUUGGCGUGAGGAACUGGGGAGCCAAGUCUCCAUUUGCUGUGAACAGUAAGAAAAACCUAGUGCACGCGUGUGCUGUGUUGCUGGGGAAGAAGCAGCAGCCUGGUUUGGGAGAUGUUAAUUUUGACGUGCCCGUUAUAUAUCUGGAGCUGCAUGCCAUGGGCUGCAUGUGUCUGGAAUUCGGUGGAGAGAUCCAGGCUGGAGAUAGAAAUUUGGGAGUCACAGCAUGUAGGUGGCAUUUCAAAUCCUGCCACUGGCGGAAACUCCAAAAGUGAGAGUGUGCACAGAGAUCCUGAGCUCUGGGGCUCUGCAACCAAUAGAGCCCAGGGAAGCUAAGCACUUUGUCAGCCUCGCUGUAUUGGAAGUGACCAGGCGACAGUUUUGAAGUAAGUGAGAUGUAAGCAGAAGCCUGCAGUUUUCUGGGAACAUUUUCCUUUCCUGAUGGAAGGGACAAAGGAGAUCAAUUACCUAUGAUUAACCCAAAAGCUUCACCUUGCCAAGGUAAACUUCUUCAGCCUUUCAAAGGAAGAGAAGCAUUCAGAUCUUACAAUAGAUGCUGGAACUAUGUAUAAUGUGAAGCAAUCAUUGCCCUGCAACCUUUGUCCAAUAGUAUUUUAAGACUAAUUACUGUACUGUGAUCUUGAGGGGUGCUAGGCAAAUAUAUAUUUCAUCUGGCAUUUAAUUUCUUAGGGCCUGUGCAUGCUAUAUUUGAUAGUCAUGUGUACAAUUUUAUGUAAAUAGACAUGGGAAGGCCUGCAUUAAAAAAGAAAAAAAAAGCCCAAACAAUAAUAACAUAGAAAGAACCAGUACAGAGCUGCAACAUUCUGAAUCAACAAACAUUUACAACAUAUUUCCGGCAGGAGCUACAUACACAGAAACAUGUAAAGCUGGAAGCCCAAUUUAAAGAUGUUGGUUGUUUCUAGUAUAUAAACAUUUGGUGUGCGAAAUAUUUAACGUGAAUUUCUUUAAUCGAGGUAUUUGUGAUUGUAAAACAAAAAUCUUUUUUAAAAAAUGAUUUUAUUUAUUUAUUUGACAGAGAGAGAGAGAGAGAGAGAGAGCACAAACAGGAGUGGCAGGCAGAGGGAGAAGGAAAAGCAGGGAGCCUGACAUGGGACUCAAUCCCAGGACCCUGGGAUCAUGAUCUGAGCCAAAAACAGUUGCUUAACUGACAGAGCCCCUCAGGCACCCUGUACAACAAAAAUCAAGUAUUUGUAGGCUCCUAAAGUAUCCCUGCAUGACUGUAGUUGUCCAUUGACCAGAGUUCAACAAUGAUCCAAACUAUCCCUAGAGUCCCUUCGAAAAUUUGGAAUUUUAAGUUACAGAGAUGAAUGCAUGAGAUCCAACCCCUCCUACUUUGGUCAUUCAUCCAGGUACGCUGGCUCUCUAUUCUCUAUAAGGUGAGUCUACCUCAAAACUAAUAGAAUUCUCUUACUUUAAGACAUUCCAUAGAAGGUGGUUCCAUAGCAUAGGACUUAAAUAAAUUAGUCAUUGCCAACAAGUUGCCAACUUGUUGUUGCCAACAGGUCAUUGUCAUCUGAAUUUAAAAUGUCUUAGAGGAACCUCCACACAGUUUUCCAGAGUGGCUGCACCAUUUCACAUUCCCACCAACAGUGCAAGAGGGUUCCCUUUUCUCCGCAUCCUCUCCAACAUUUGUGGUUUCCUACCUUGUU